rnacentral:rRNA from 1 species
AAUGAACGCUGGCGGCGUGCUUUACACAUGCAAGUCGAGCGAGGCGUCCCGCAAGGGAUAGUCGAGCGGCGAACGGGUGAGUAACGCGUGGGAACCUGCCCUGGAGUGGGGGAUAACCGAGAGAAAUUUCGGCUAAUACCGCAUACGUCCUGAGGGAGAAAGAUUUAUCGCUCUAGGAGGGGCCCGCGUCGGAUUAGCUAGUUGGUGGGGUAACGGCCUACCAAGGCAACGAUCCGUAGCNGGUCUGAGAGGAUGAUCAGCCACACUGGGACUGAGACACGGCCCAGACUCCUACGGGAGGCAGCAGUGGGGAAUAUUGGACAAUGGGGGAAACCCGUGAUCCAGCAAUGCCGCGUGAGUGAUGAAGGCCUUAGGGUUGUAAAGCUCUUUCGGCGGGGACGAUGAUGACGGUA